ensembl:lncRNA
CCCCUCUGUGUGCUUCUGUGUAACCUGAUUUGCAUAAACAUGAGUAAUUUAUGAAUAAUAAAUGCACUUGUAUUCGGCAUGAUCCGUUAAUUUGCAUAUCACCAUGGCACUACAGUUAUUUUUCCUGCUUGCUGCGCUAUCAUGAAGCCAUAAGAACUCGCAUAAAGCCGAAUCAAAAAGGAGAGUUAAAAGGAGAUGCAUAAACAUGAAGAGGUGCUGCAUUAUUGAUGAGACCGGAGUCACGCUAUAGAGAUAGCCGUGUUGAAGACACAUGGACAGGCAGUCAGACAGAGAGACAGACAGGGAGGUAAAUGCUUUAUCCUGUGCCUGUGUUCUCCACUGCCACACGAGGCAGGGAGAGACGUCAUGCCCAUCGUUUACAUUUCCUUCUCUUCUGUUGCUUUUUUUCUCUCUCUCUC